CUUGCAGUUUGAAUUUAUAUUUUAUUAUUUUGAAAUACAAAAAUUUAAAAACAUUUCAAAAUACACCAGUACAUGUUUGUUGUAAAAAUUUCACCUAGGAGGAUAUAAAAUAGAAAAGCCGAAUAUUCCUUCUAACUCUCCCCUCUACCUCAAUUCCCUUCAGAGGUAACACAGCAAAAAAAAACUGGGGAAAAGCAAACAACUUUCCAGACCUCUACUAUUCUAAAACACAAAGAGCAUUACAGCUUGCUAUGCAUUUUUUUUUUUGGGGGGGGGGGGUUGUUUUUUAGAGACGGAGUCUCCCUCUGUCACCCAGGCUGGAAUGCAGUGGUGUGAUCUCGGCUCACUGCAACCUCCACCUCCCCAGUUCAAGCGAUUCUCCUGCCUCAGCCUGCCGAGUAGCUGGGAUUACAGGCACGCGCCACCACGCCCAGCUAAUUUUUGUAGUUUUAGUAGAGACAGCGUUUCGCCACAUUGGCCAGGUUGGUCUCAAACUCCUGACCUCAGGUGAUCCGCCCUACUCAGCCUCCCAAAGUGCUGGGAUUACAGGCGCGAGUCACUGCGCCCAGCUGCUAUACAUUGUUAAACCUUUUGCUUUCUAGUUAAUAUGUCUUAGAGAUCACUGCAUGACCACAGUGCAGCAUCGCUUCAUUCUUUCCAACAGUUGCAUAAGAUCCUGUAGUAUGGAUGUGCUACACUUUAACAGUGCUGCUGUACACAUCCUGUUGUGCACACCCUUGUGCCCAGGUGCACAGUUCUGUUAAAUAGAAAGAUAUGAACAGGUUGAUGCCUCUAUAUAUGAUGCUACAUUGCCUUAAAGCCCUCUCUAGGGCUUUAAAAAGUUUUCGGAACCGUAUCUUUAACAGAGCGGACAAAUCCAGUAAGAUGACAGUUCGUAUACCAUCAUCCAUACCUUACACAUCCUUGUAUUUAUAUCUACUUCAGUGGCUGGCACAUGGUGGACCCUUGAUAAAAGCUUCUUGGAUAGAUAGGCAGAAACUAACUAGACACAGGUAUAAAAUGGAAGCGUUCAUAACCCAAAGUUCCUAAAAUUAGAAGUCAGAUCUUAAAUUGGUUAGUGAAUCAAGAUUCCAUUUGAUCCCAAGUUUUGUACCUCACAUCUAGAAGCUCUGAAAUAUUUCACUAAGUUUCCUCGUUUGGAAGAGUUGUGAGAUGAAUGAAAUUUCUUUCUUUACUGUUGAAGUUUUCUCAAGGAAUUUCAUGAAAUAAAGGGAGAAAGAAAAUGUAAGACUAAAGACUAAAUACUACCUGGACAGAUUAAAGGAGGAAGUUACAGGCACAUUUGCACUCAUCUGGGCUUUACAAAGUGAUAUUAAGUGCAUUUUAAUGUAAAAAUAUACACCAAAUAAACCCCUGCCCUCCACCCAUUCUACAGAUGACAUCCUUGGUGGGCGGCUGGAUAGGCACACAUCUUCACUGGGCUACUCCAACCUAGUAGUAACAGUUUUUGGGGUUUUUUUUUUUUUGAGACAGGGUCUUGUUCUGCUACCCAGGCUGGAGUGCAGUGGCAUGAUCAUAGCUCACCACAGCCUUGACC
rnacentral:lncRNA from 1 species